AUUGAACGCUGGCGGCAGGCCUAACACAUGCAAGUCGAACGAGUGGCGGACGGGUGAGUAAUGUCUGGGAAACUGCCCGAUGGCGGGGGAUAACUACUGGAAACGGUAGCUAAUACCGCAUACCAUCGGAUGUGCCCAGAUGGGAUUAGCUAGUAGGUGGGGGAAAGGCUCACCUAGGCGACGAUCCCUAGCUGGUCUGAGAGGAUGACCAGCCACACUGGGACUGGGACACGGUCCAGACUCCUACGGGAGGAAGCAGUGGGGAAUAUUGGACAAUGGGCGCAGGCCUGAUGCAGCCAUGCCGCGUGUAUGAAGAAGGCCUUCGGGUUGUAAAGUACUUUCAGCGGGGAGGCGUUACCCGCAGAAGAAGCACCGGCUAACUCCGUGCCAGCAGCCGCGGUAAUUC
rnacentral:rRNA from 1 species